rnacentral:lncRNA from 1 species
CUGCAAUAAUGUUUAGUGUUAUAGGACUUUUGUUGGUGUUGAAAAUGACAGUUAAUGGUGGUGCGUUUUUCAGACCCGAGACUGAGUAAAUAGAACUAUUUAUCCAAGCUCACAUUAUCACAAGCCCAGCAGUACCAAUGACAGAGAAGUUUGAAGGGCAUAAUGAAUUUUAUGCUUCUGUGCAAAAUGUGUGGGGUUGAUAAGGUAUUGCUUUUGUGAGGUCUUAGGAAAUUAAAUUGCUGAAUGGCACUAAGCGUUGAUAGGAAUUAGGUCCUGUGGGCCAGUGACAGAAGGUAGGAAGGUGAACACUGUAUUUUAUGAACAGUAAAAUAUAACCCAUGAAAUUUAGUAUGUCCUUCAAUUAUAUAUGAAGGCAACAGACACUCUAUUAGUAGCACCUGUGACUUUGUCAUUAAUAGAAAUCACAGGCGUUUUUAUAUCAUGUUGUUGCAGAUAUUUCAAAAUACCAUUUACACUCAACACUACUUUGAAAUUAUAGGUGUUAUUAGAUACACUGCUACCUCUUGUAAUUUAAUGUGCUAAUAAAGAGGCACAUGUAUUACUCAAUGACAGUAAAAAAUGUGAUAUUUCUAUUUCACUGGUUUUCUUUGUAAUGCUAGUUAUUUUAUCUCAUGCAUUUGAAAGCGUUAUUCUGACAAGAGGUCCUCGACAGUAAAGGUUAAGAGCCUCUGCUUUGAUAGAUGCCCUGGCUCUUGCCAGACCACAGAUUCCUUCUUAUAGCCUCUUUUGUUCUUUACUCUUUGGUGCUGUCAGGGAUGUCUUUUCAGAGAUGUGCCUUGCCUGCCUGCCCUGAAUAUGAGCAUACCUCCUCUGAAGUUCUGAUUUACUUUGGGAAUUUCAAUUUUGCAAGUGUGAUUUAAAAUGGGAGAAAAUAGCAAAUAAAAAUAGGGGUACAAGACGUAGGCAUGACAUAAUCUCCAAGGGCAAGAGAGUGCUAAGUAACAGUGGCCAAAUCAGAAUAUUGUUCCCAAAUCAGAAUAUCUAGUAUGCGUAUCUAAUUACUGACAUCUCUUCACUUUAUAGCUAUUUAUGCACUUUGCAAACCUUUCUAAGGGGUGGCUCCUGGGGAAUGGGGCACAUGAGUUGUUCAAUAUCAUAUUCCUUAUAGUACUUUGGAAGAAUCCUGGCAUUUGGGAGCAUUUAGUGGAUACUUCUUGAAUUGAGUUCUGAAUGAAAAACAAAUGCAGUUUUGUAGAGAGGUUGAAAAUACGCAUGUUGCUUUGAUUAUUGCAUUAGUGGCUGACAUCUUCUUGAUAUAAUACCCAGUUUUUGGUAGCAAUAGAGUCAUUAGAGACACAUAAAAAAAUGAAAUUCUAUAGUGGAAUCAACAGUGCCCUACAAAAUAAACAUGAUUGUACAGCUAUGUUAUUGGAUCUAUCAUAGUUAUGACAUCAACUGAAAUAAAUUGGUUCUACACUAGAUUGACAGCUGUUCUCAGGCAGCAGCUGCCUUUCCUGGUGGAAUUAAAGAUAUUGUUUUUAGUGUACAGUGUUAGAACACAAUUUUAUUGAUAUAACUGCCAUGACAUCACCUUUGGAACUAAAUAGAUAACAUCAGAUUUAAAAUGACAUAUGUUUCUCCGCUUCUGUUUUAGUUACAUAUUUUAUUAAUUCCAACUGUGAAUAUAUUUAAGGGAUGCCAGGAAAAAUGAAUAAUUUUUUAUGAUAAAAUAUCAUAGGUAUGUAAGAGAAGCAAAUGCUUCUGAAUAAGUGAUUUUUUAAGCAUUAGCUGUUUUCUGGUGAGCAAUAUGUGAUAAAAUAGACAGAUGUUCCUCCUUCUUACCACCCCACAAUCGUGACCCUCUUUAUUUUUAUUUUUGCUGUACUUAUAAACUUCCAAGGUACCAUGUAUUUAUUUAUGUCAGUCUCUAUCUAGUAGAACAUGAGCUCCUUGAAGGUAGGAAUUUUGUUAACUUAUAUAAACAAAUAAUCUAAAAUGAUGCUUGGCACAGAGUUGGUGUUUAAUAAACAUUUGUGGAAUAAAUGAGUGACUGAUACACAAAUGAAUAAAUCCAAAGUACAUAGAACCUAAGUUUCUUUUGGUGUUUUAAAUGUAUCUCAAAAUCUCCUUAUGGUCAGUUAUGUCUUAGUAGCUUAACAUCACUUUUCAGACAUUUCUGAAUAACUCUUAUUGAUAACUAUAAACUUUAAACUCAGGAUAAUGUGUCAUUUUAGUGGCUACUGAGGCAUAAUGCAACAUGGGGAAUUCCCCACGGGCUGGUUAGGAUGUAAUCAAUAGUGAUUAUGUUAAUUGUGUCACUAUCCUAAUGAUUUUUUAAAACUUGUGAAAUGUUAGCAUUGUCGUCUGUCAUCAAUUUCCUACAGAAAUGCUGAGGAUGAACCACACAAUGUGUAUGAAAAGUUUGAGCACUUCAGGAAAAUAAUCAAGAGCUAAUUCUGAGAGAUUGGUGUCAUAGCAGCUGAGCACAGAUUGUCAACCACUGUAAAAAAGUAGGCAGUGGUUAUUAAUGGCUGGUUAGAUAACAAUGUAGGAAGGAAGCUUGUGAAAUGGAGUUUUGUUUUUGCCUUCUGAAGAUCAGUGGCUUGGAAUUAUUUUCCCUUUCUCACAUAUUGAGCUAAUUCCAAUUCUAAUUUCUAAUUUUUCAUUAAAAAUUCACAUUCUCAACUGUGAAUACUUUCAAGUGUUGAAUAAAAAAAAAGUUUCUAAACUAGAGCAUUAAAGGACCGUAGGACUAUUUAUUUGCAAAUAGAGAUGUCAUUUUAAAUGAAAUGUUAGCCAGAUAAUCAUGAAAAGUAUGAAUCAGUGCACUCUCUCCUGGUAACUUUAAAAAGCAGUCACUAAUUACACACUUCUUCUAAGGAAAAACAUGAGAUUUCCUUAGACUGCAGAACUGUGCUAGCUUGGCUUGAUUAUUUGAAAAAUCUUUGUUCUUAGGAAGGAGAUAAAAAUAAACUAUCAUCCUUUCUUCAUGGCAGUAAAAUAAAUAGCUAAGAAGUGAAGUGUUUAGACAAGUGUCAUUAAUUAUAUUAUUAAUAAACCCCAGAGCAGAGUUAACUGGAUUCAACCAAAAAGGAUUGGAUGUGAUAAAAAAAAUUUGUGUGUACUGACAUGCCCACUUUUCUUUUUGCCCAUAUGCCAGUAAUGAUAAAAAAAUAAAUAAGCCAGGGAGGAAAGGAAUAUGUUUGUUAGUUGAAGUCUGAGCACUUUGAAAGAAUUCUUAGAAAUGGGAUGAAGAAAAUGAGGGUGUACUAGCCAUCCUAAGUUUAUUGCCAGCAUCUUCAACCUUAUGAUUUUACUUUAACUUAUUUGAUCCUAAAAAUCACCGUGUGAAAUCAGUGUGAUUAUUCUCUGCACUUUCUAUAUGAGAAAGUGAUGCUCAGGGAGGUAAGGAAUUGAAGUAAGAUUAUUUAGUUAGAAGGUAUGACCCAAGUCCAAAUUUUUGGAUUACAUAUCCCAUACAUUUACUGCUACAUUGGGCAGCAGCUCCUAAUUUCAAGCUUGAGGGGGUAAAAUCCUAAUUCUGGCCCCCCCAAGAGGACAGCUCCUAUUCCCAUUAUUCUGGACUUCUCAUGCCCUCGGAUUUCAUUGUCAUUUUUGCCUUUAGAGGCCUACAGACUUGGCCUGUGGUGUGGCAUCUGGCAAGAUUUUUUUACUGAUUUGAGCUUAAACAUGGAUUUGUAUUUAAGGAUUUAGGAGCUUAAUAUCUUUAGUGGGAAAACAAGCAGCAAGGAGGAUCUUUGGGUGAACUGAUUAAACAGCAUAGGCAAGCCAGAUUAUGUGCUCAUCAGCUAAUACUUUAUUGAAGGACACAUAUACACUAUAUGAAAUGAUAUAUAGGCAUAAUUUCAGUGUAAUUCUUUUCUUAAAUACUAACCCAUCAUCCCUAGGGUAUUAACAAACAAACCCUUAGAUCUCUGAGUACUCAGAUCCUAUGUAGUCUCAGUCUGGUCAUCUGAGUCUGCCUCCAACUCUGUUGUCUUCUUAACCCCCAUUAGCCUGCCAGCUUUUCUGGACUAGUGCUCAGAGGUUGUCCUUCCUGCUAAGGCCUGACACAAUAGGGACUACCUUACAGUAUAUGUGGGAGAAUACUCCUAUGUGGUGGACUGUUGCUUCUAUGAUUUUAGAUAAGAAAAGGAUUUCAUUCCUUUGCCCAGGAGACCUUUGUCCAUUCCCUGAAACCUAAAAUAGGUUUGGCAUACACAUCACCUUCAGUUAAUAGAAUUACCAUGUAAUUUAUAGUCCCAAGGGCCCUUUUAAUGGGACACUGUUCAUAAUUAUACCAGGACGAUAGGUAUAAACAGAGACUAUCUUAGGCAAACCCAAAUACCCUAUCAGUUAAGGACUGCUCCUGAAUAAAUAACUUUAAUGCCCUUUACGCCCUGUCAAGUUCAGGAAAUCUAAACAAUUUCUGCUCUGAGGCCUAAGAACGGAUGGCUCAUCCGGAAACCCAUCAGUUUAAACCUUUGCAUCUUCCAGCUCAGGAACAAUGGAAAGAUCAAAGUGUUAUGGCUGCCAACUUUAUGAUGUUACCUAAGAGGGCAAUUCUAGUAAUUACAAAGGGCAGAGAUUUAAAAGGUCACAUUUUGAAACCCUUUCUGUCAUUGGAAUCUGUGGAGGGGUGUCUCCUUGACUUGGAAUUAAAGUCUGGUGGCAUUUUGUUAAACAACACAUUACAGGAUCUGUCCUCAAGAUAAGCUUCUGCAUCUUUGUGAGAGAUGAUUUUUCUAAGCUUGCGUAGUCUUUUGCAGUGUGUACAGUUGAGUAAUAAAAUGCAAAAGGUCAACAAUGAAUGUGAAGCUCCAUCCCCAGGCUUUAUUCAGAUAUGAAGUUCUUUAGACAGCUACAACUCUCUCUCCUCCUGUGCCUCUGAUUGGAAGCUGUUAUGGAAUUGUAUUUUCAUGCAAAUAAAAAGACAUUAACUUUGGAAAAGAUAUGCAAUGAAUGCCGUCUUGGGUUCAGGAAAGCUGCUGAAUUCAAAUGUGUUUGGAUGCUAUAAAUGAUACUAUUGGGACAGCAGAUGGACUUUUUUCAGGAGACAGCUCUAAAAUGAUCAACUUGGGGUAAACCACCACCACAACCCUUCACAUCAUUUCUGAAAUACUAACGUCUCCAUUUCUGCAUCUGUUUGAGAAUGAAACACUUCUCUAAAGCAA